AAUCAAGUACGAAUAAAAUUGGUAGGGUCUCAGACAAUAUAUUGACAUAUGAGAACGUACAUGACACAUAUCACUGUGGACAUUGUCUAUGGCCUUAUUACAAGCAACAAGAGAAAUUACAUAGGCGUGUGAGUGCGCGUGCGCGCGCACACACACGUGCACACAUGCAUGACAUACAUGGAUUGACUAGAGGUCGCCCCAUAUAGUCAACAAUUUAUUGGAGGUAAACAUUAGCAUAACUUGGCCAUAGAUCGAAGCAAUCCAACAUAUGCCGAUGAAUGGCAUCCAUGUUGGUAGCAAUGCAAGCAUAUCGUUUUAGUACAGUCCUUCCAUCUUCGAAGCCACUCCCAUUUCAUCCAUCUUAGCAACCACUGCGAAAUUAAGAUAUCGAACUCCCAUUAGCUCAUGAGUUAAUUUUGCCAGGGCAGGAGAGUAUAAGAGGUCUUUGUGUAGGAAGUAACAUGCUUGAACUUGUGAGAUGGGACAUGAAGUCAACGAAGUACAUUAAUGAAAAUCGGUGGAAGGUCACAGAUAUGUAUUAGUCCACCAUACGACACAGAUCUUGUAUUUACAAAUAUCAAAGGCAUUGAUUAAAGUGAGUUUAGUGCAUUUACCAGAAUCUUCAAGAAUACAGGGGAAACAACAAGUGUUCUUGCAGGCAAAGUCAGAGCCACCCGCAAAAAUACAAGUAGAACAACAUCCUUUUGCGGCUAAGCUUAUGCAGCAGCCGCAGUCUGCGGUGGUCGAGUUUACGGUGAGGCUCAGGAUGAGCAGGCACAUGAUCACCUUCAAAGUGGUAGUGCUAGUGAGCAUCCUCUUACCCUCCAUUUUCUCUUGUUGAUGUUGCCUGCCUUGGUUACCUAGCUAAGUUUCUUGGUUUUGUGUUGAGAGGUGCUUCUUAAAUGGAUGUUGCUUGCUGCAAUUUAUAGGCAAUUGCAUUACGUUAUGAUAUGUAUAAGGUGCGAGUGGGUGGAAAAUCCUGUCGUAUUCAAUGUGACAGUAUCGACAAUUGAUGACAUUGGUUGGUAACCCGGACAAAUUCAUUCACACGUAUCUUGCGGAGGAAAUGUUGCAUCACCUACCAUAUUCAAUAUUAGGGAGAAAGCCUGAACUACACCAAUAGUGUGCAACGAGGCACAAAAAGCUACCACAAGUAGUGGAGUUCGUAUGAUAUCAGCAAGCUAUAAACAAUAACCAUGGAGGCAAUUAACACUAGCCCGUCAAAGAUGGUGCUAGCAACUUAUGGUGUUCAAUGCAACACCAGAGCAAAUAUGUAUGGACUUUGGUUAGUAAAAUUUCAACAGGCGCUACAUAUAUAUUUUUCUAUACAAAAUUGAUUGGAAGCAAUAGAGUAGGCUAGUUCCUAGGUAGACCUUUAGCAAUGUUCAUUUUGGCCAUGGUGUCGGAGAUCAGAUUAUAAGUAUGACGUACAUGCAACUUGAUCCCUUGUCCUCAUAUUUUAAUUCCCGCAUUCACAAGUUGCACGUACUAAGCACUCCCAAUUAUUACCCUUUUCAUUAUGCAACUAUUUUUAGAAUUUAUUUAUUUUUAAUAUACAAAUGUCAUUUAACAAACAAUCUAUUUUAUUCAGCUAGCGGAGGUCGGGCAAAACCGUUUUUUAUCCAAGUCUAGAAAACCUUGUAUAUUGUUCGGGCAUACAUUUUGCUUUUCUAAGAUAGAACCCCAAGAUAUUAGGCAUUGUGUCAGUUGUAUCAAACUUAUUUCUAUAUGACAUCAAAAUGUUAGAGAUAUUGAUAUGAUGCAAUGCACCGGGAUUAUCCUUAAAAACGAAAAACAAUUAAAAGGAGGAAAACUUGUGCAAAUAGUCCUUACGUGAUAUGGUCCUCAUCAAAAUUACCAAAUUUGGAAUAUGGUGCUUCGAAAAAAGAGUGUUCUCAAAAAGAGGUAUCAUGCCUGGCUUAUCUUGGCUUUCAACCCAAAUGGCCAAGGCGAUGGCCAUAUCCAUGGCAAACAUUGUUUUUCGUUUUCCCAUAUUCAGCACACACAUGCAUCUUGGAACACAAAUCCAACCAACAACCAAUGAUCGUUUCAUUUCUUAGAGGUGCGGGCGAGGACAAUUAAAAACUUGUGAAACAGGUGUACCCGAGGCUUAAUUCACUAUUCGAGUAUACAGAUUGGGUCACUCUGUUUCGAAAUCACAACAAGAAAAUGUUUUGUUGAACAUCCUCUGUUAGAUAAGACUACAAGAUGAUGGUACUUUUGGGUCCUUCACAAAACAAGAAACUAACCAAGAGAUUAGGAUGACUGAUCUGUCCCAUGUAUGUCCUGCAAAUCAGUUGUUGAUAACGUUGCCAUUAUUUAGGAAAAGGCUCCUCACCUGAAUAUAUAUAUGCCACAAACCUUUAUUUAGGAAAAGGCUCCUCACCUGAAUAUAUUUCAAAUGUUUGACAGUUUUACAGGAUCACGCAUAUGCGCGCUCCUUGGGUGCCCCAGAUUUUAGCCUAUGUAUCCAUAUGUAAGGUAAGAUCAGUGCCAAUGUUUUCGAUGGUGUCAAGGGGAGGAUCAUCUACAAGUUAGAACAUCUUGUUCAUGGCACCCCAUAUUAUCCAUACUACAUGUAGAAGAAUUAAGCAUGGGAUAAAUAUAGCCAGAGGGCAUUGCGGUUGAGAAGAGAUCACCAAUUUGGAUGGAGAUUGCGUGCCAUAUCCUUCAAGCAGCAUGACAGGUGAAGAAGAGGUGAUGUCUAUCAUGGGCAGAUGGAGCUGGUGAGGAUUCUUUAUUUUUUGUAGAUUGCAUCUUGUGUUCACUCUGUCCAGGUAGAAGAGCUAGACGAAGAUCUGUAAUCUCUUUCAAGGUGCGGUCCUAUGGAUCCGAAAGCUGGGGUGAUAGGGCAGCAUAUGCCCCCUCUUGAUGAAAGCUGACCCAUUAAGCAACCCUCGCUCGUCAGGAUCCUACAACAGAGAGUUUAACGAGCCAAGCUCUGGCGAGGCAGUUGAGGUUAGUCGGUUACGCAAGGCAAGUUCGACCUGCAUGAUGGCAUCUUUGGUGGGAUCGGUGAGAGAAAAUGGUAGGGAAAACAUUGGCUAAUGGUUCAGGGUUGAUCCACCUGUCAAGCCAAAACAAACAAUCUCAAACAGUGGCUAAUGGUUCAGGUCUCCCAAAAAGAAUCUUUAGUUUGUUAGAUAAUAUUAUUUGCAUGGUUGUUUCCUAGUGUAUCAUAUAUGGACUCUUGGGCCGAUAGGAUCUUCUUUGUAAACGUAUGUACUUCAAAACAUGAGGAAACCAUAUCUCGUUUAGUCCUAGCCGUAAAAUUAAGAUCUGAUGGUUAUUUAUCAGCACUUGUCAAGGAUUAACGUGGAGGCUCGUAUGGUGCCUCCAAUUAAUAAAUAUAUGAUUUUGACAUGGGCUUCUUAUAUAUUUCGCUAUAAAAAUUGAUUGGAACAAAUACGUACGCCUAGUUCGCUAGGAUAGGCCUUUAGCAAGGUUUAUCAUCUCCACUGUGUUGAAGAUUAGAUGAUAAGUAUGAACUAAAUGCAACUUGAUCCCAAGUCUUCAUAUUCCAAUCCCCAAAUUUACAACUUGCUCGUACUAUGCACAUCCUAUUAGUAACUUUUUUUGCUAGGAACACUUUUUAUAAUUUAUUUGUUUGUGAAUACACAAAUGUCAUUUUAACAGACUAUCUAUUUUUAUUCAGCUAGCAGAGGUUGGGCACAAUCAAUUUUUAUCCAAGACUAAAAAACCAUGUACAUUUUCGGGGGGCAUACAUCUUGUGUUUCUAAGAGACAACACUAAGAUAUUACGCAUUGUGCCUCUUGUAUCAAACUUGUUUUUGUAUGUCAUAGAAAUAAUAGAGAUAGUGAUAUGAUUCACUGCACAUGGAUUAUCCUAAAAUAGAGAAACAAUUGAAAAACGGGAAACUUGCACAAAGAGUCCUUUUACAUGAUAUGGUUUCCAUAAAAAAUACCAAAAUUGAAAUAUGACGCUUUGAAAAAAAAGUGUUCUCGGAAAGAGGUAUCAUGUAUGCUUAUCUUGGCUUUCAACCCAAAAUACCAAGGCGAUAGUCAUAUCCAUGGGAAACAUGGUGGUAUUUUGCCCAUAUUCGGCACACAUGUGCAUCUUGGCAUGGCUUUAUAAUGACACCUUAUUCACAUUGAUAAGAGCCUGUAUGCAAUAGCUACGACUCUCCUAAAACAAUGUCGACCGAUGAAAUCUCUGGACCAAAAGUUGGGCAGAAAACGCCAGACCAGUGAAUGGGGUGCCAAAACAUGGAAAAGGGCGGGAAAUUGCCAAAAUUCUACCGUUGGUUGUAGCCUCACUGAAACCGACAUGUAAUUUGACCGUCGAAUAUUCAGACAACCUGGAACCCUAGCAUGCUACCAAGGCACCGACAUAAUGCAUGUAUUCUGUGCAUGCGAUACUGGCGCCCCCGCGACCAGAGGAAGGAAAAAACACCUAGACGGUACGCUAGUGCCUAAAUUUGGGCGGGAGAACACCAGAGUGGUGAGUUGGCCACCAAAAGAUGAAAAAGGGCUAGUCUUUGGCAGGUAUAAACAAGGGGGGAGGGGGGCUGGUAUUUCGGGUGCCAGAUCUUGUGAAGGUAAACAAGGAGAGAGACAUAAGAUGGAUACAAGCUGCUCCUCUGCCUUUGUUUGACUUGACCCAGCUGAAACAUAAUGUCGUUUCCAAAGAAACUUCAAUUACUGUUGAGAAGAGACAAAACCAAAUACUGCCAUUACACAAUAUAUAUCCGUCGUAAGAUAUUGAUUAAGCUAACCAAGCUGGACAUUGCCUACAGUACACCUAGAUAACUUAAUUUAUGCUAGCGACCGUGACGGCGAUCACCAAUUGAUUGUAUUUAGUGACUAAUAACCUGCCAUUGGUAUAUUUCAAAUUUUAUAUAUCAUUUGAUCCUCACCAUCGUCGGACAUGAUCGAGUCACAGAGAUAGGUACAAGUAGCUGUUCUGAGAAUAAGAAGAAAAAAUCGAUGCACUGACAAUCUCCAAUGUGUGUCCAUCUCAACCAUUUUAAAUUAAUUAGUACAAGUCCAAAUUAUCUGCUCUCCGGUAGAAACUAAAUUAGUCACGUUUGUUACGCUAGAGUUUGGUGCCAACGAACAAACCUAGCAAAUCAAUUGCACGUGGUCUCCUUAAACUACAAACAACGACAAUGAUGGAGGAGCCACUAAAUAGAAGGCCGGGCAGCGAUAGAAUGUACUUACUCAAUGGUAGCUAAUUUUUGUUGGUAAAUUGCGAGCGUUCUCCAGGGACGAACUCAAGAAGCAGUUUUUCUUGAUGAACGGACAAUAAGCUCCACCAUGCAAAAAUAUAAGGUUUCAGUUUGAGGAUCCAGCAAUAGUUCAUCAUGGAGCCUGAUGCACCAAGGUCAUAAUGCUGGUCUGGUGUGCAAAAUCCAAAGUAUGCAUCAGUUCUGCUCUCACACAUUGCGGAUCGUUCGAAUAUGCCAUCCAGAUCUUGUCUGUCCUGGAUAUACUUUUUGCUCGGAAUUAUAAAACUGUUCCUUUAUAAACUACUUACAGAAGCAUGAUUGUGGCUGUUGAACAUUUACUUUCCUUGAGUCGAAAAGACGCGCUAAUUUAGGGAAGCAGCAUGUGGGCACUGGAUAUCAUGUGCAUGCAUGUUCUUAACCCCCAAGCCACUCAGAUUAUUUGGCCCCAGAGCAAACCGCUUGGUUUGACCAGAAAAAAGACCUUCUACCCUUAUCCAUAGCAUAUGAAUGGAGAAGCAGAGCAUGAGCAGUGGGCAAACUAUCUAUCCUCUGAGAUGGACCAAGGAUAGAUAGUCGUUAGUGGCUCUAUAAAGAGGCCGGAUUCUGUCACACACAUAAGGGCUAAUUUGGCAGCAAGGUAAACGAAACCAGGGUAGCAAACCUUCGGGAGAUUAUACGCUAUUACUCACCUUCGGGAGAUUAUACGUUUCAAUCACUAUAUAUAUGACGUGCAAAAUGCAGCACACAUCCAUCACCAUCAGUUGAACUCGUGUCACACAAACUCCAUAGUCCAUACUUCUCUAGGUGUCACCUCACUAUGCUGGAUACCUCUCCAAGUCUAUAUGUGAUGGACGGACGAACCAAGGCUCACUGGGCUUAAACACCUCCGGAAUGACAACCUCUACUACAACUCAACUCUGGAUUUUCGUACCUGUGCGUUUCACCAAACCAGUUGAUUAUCACCCCACUCUGCUCUUCUCUUCUCCAUGUAGAGUAGACCAGAGUAGGGACACCGAACACAUCAAUUACCAUCACAUACUAAAGUAUAUUCUAACAGCUGCUACAACUGAAUUAAUCAAUCAUGCCCAAACACCCAUCCAUACCCACUCACUGCCAUUAUGUCCGGAAAUUGUCCAGCUUUGAACACACAAAUAAAAUAGAAUAGUCUCUAGUCUCCAUGCACUUUUACUGUUUGAUUGAUCACAAAACUUACCUCAACAGUAAGAAAAUACACAAAAUUUGUUUUUCUCUGAUAUAUGAGAUCACAGAUUUUAGCCUUUUGGCGGUUCUAUUGCCAUCAAUGGCAUUUACUAUAUUCACGGAUGCAAUUUGCUAACAAACCUUGCUAUCUAAUCUCCCUUGCACCUGCUCACGUCAAGAUUUAAACUGGAUGAGAUAAUGUAUAUGACUAUGCGUGACAUCAAGUUUAAGCAUUUAUGGUUCAGAUUUUACAUCAAGUAUAUCGUAGUGUAGUGCAGCAAGCUUAAUUCUCCAAAUCACCCAUAGCAUCGAAUGAAUGAAGAACCAAAUCGAUAAUUACAUCAGAGCUAGUCACUGCAAUAUCAGCAUAUUGUUAAUUGUUAAUGUGUAUAUCGAUCAACUUUGUUUCUUUUCAAGUAAUCUAACACAUUCAUCAAGGGAUUAAAUUGUAACCGAAUAGUACCAUUAGAAGUACAAAUAAGUUAACCAUUUCACAUUUGAUUUUCCACUAUUACUAAUUUGAUAUUUUAUCUUUUACAUUCGAAUCUUCUGAGGUUUGUGUACAUUUUGUGUUGUUUAAGACCGUCGGUCGACUGUAGAGUAGCCGCGCACCUCGUUCUUAUCCAUCUAAUCACAUGCACUAUGGUCUUUGCGUGGCAUUAAUUAAUUAGCAGUUGAUGCAACUGCUCCAUUAUUAACAAUAAAAAGGCAUCCUCGUUUAGCACGCAGGUCUUGUUUGAAUGCAUAAUCAUUUGCAUAAUAAUUAGGUAAGGCCGCUAGUUGGUGAGAAAUGCAUUGUACUUUCCUUGAGAUUAUCUGUCGACACCAAGCUGGUCAAUGGCGUGCAAUUUGAGAGCACUACCCUAUUCUCUGCGUUGUUAUAAAAAAAAUUAAGGCAAAGGGACUGUGUACCCUUUGUAUCGAAUCGACAUGUACCUAGGAUAAAAAUAAAUUAAUUGAUUCAUAAUCUAGUACAACAAAGGUAAAAUAAUUUAAAAAACACUCCCUAAAAUAAGUAUAAGAAUGUGACAAUCGCUCCCUAAAAACGGAAUGUAACAAUCACUCCUGGAAGGGGAAACAGCAAGAUACCGCAAUGCCACUCGAGCACUUUGACGUGUAGUACUGGGUAUGGGGAGAUUAUGUUGGGAUAAGAUAGUGGGUUGCCGGAGCCGGAGACCUCACCGGAGAGUUGGAAUUCCCCAUGUGGAUUCGGCUGUUGGCGAAGAAGUUGGUAAAGUGAAUGAGAGGGCGAUAGCGAACGGACACUGCACAUUCACCGGAUCUGGGCAAGGAAAGGGCACAAAUGAACAACACCUUCUUUUUCUGUUUUUAAAACGCCAAAAAGGUGUGGGUGUGUUGUGAAUCAAACUAGCGACCUACUGCUUCAACGUAAGCUGCAGUACCCACUUACUUACUAAUUUUUUUUUCACAUUUUCCUCUUUCUACUUUUCUUUUUUCUUGUUUCUGGUUCGAUGAGUUUUUUUUUCCAAUUUUGUGAACUAUUUUUUCAAAAUCAAUGAACUUUUUUCAAUUUGUAAACUUUUUUUUUCUAAAAUUGACAAAAAAUUGUAAUCAAUUGUUUUACUAUUUUUUUCCAAAUUUUGUGAUACUUUGGAAAAGUCAACUAGUCAGUUAGUGAACCGAUCAACUGGCACCAGUCAACCAGUGAGAGAUCAGAAGCGUAGGGAACGCUCAACCCGGUUGCAUUUUGCUGCGCUGCAGCGAGAUGACAUUUUCAGCCGCAACCCAUGAAUGAAGGUAGUGAGCGCCAGGGAUUCUUUUCGGUGCUUGAAGUGCCGAAUAGGAGCUCCCAUGAAUUAGAUAGCUUUCGGAUGCAAAUUCCGUUUGCAGAUCAGCGAGGCCACAAGCUUUCCAGUUGUUUUUUCCUUAAUCCAGUUCCAUCUAUGUAAAACUGCGAACGACGGAUCAACAUGCACAUGGUCAGCUCGAUCGUUACGCCAAAUGAAUACAAAUUAUGCACACACACUCCGACGUGGCGAGCGAGAGCGACUUUUUUUUUGGCGAGGGAGCGAGAGCGACUUUGUUGAGAGGACCAAACUACCAUGAUUUUAUACCAUUCUUCGUAUGAUAUUAAAACUGGCUAUUGGCUGUUUGUCUCUUGUAGACGUAUUUAAUCAGCUAUGUCAUACAAUACAAAUUAGGUGUUCCGUCGCCAUCACAUUCAACUGCGGGUAUUCUGCUCUCGCAGAUGACUGGCUCUUUCAUAAAGAAUGUUUAAGGAAGUCCUAAUGAUUGGGAAAGCCCUCCAGAUAGAAUGGUUGAAGUACUCUUCAACUUCACUGUAUGUAUUACUUUUAGCUUUGGAUGAGCUUAAUCUCCCAGGAAUAAUCUUGAAUUACCAAAAAUUCUGGAUCAUUUACGAGUAUUAGUCUAGUUCAUAUGGAAUUUUGUAUCCAAGCUAGUUGUGUACGUAUAAGUAUGAUGGUUGAUCAUGUACACGUGGUUUUUUGAGUUUGGGUUCCAAGGUGUGUCCUAAUGCUAGUAGUAAUAGGAAGUACGAGGUACGAGUAGGAUUAGUUGGUCUAUAGGUUGGCCACUUUGUGUGUGUGUGUGUGUGUGUGUGUGUGUGUGUGUGUGUGUGUGUGUGUGUGUGUUCAUCAUGUUAUAGGUGGUGAAGCACACUAAUGAGCAAGGUAAAACUCACAUCGAUCAAGGUCAGUGGCAUUUGUUGAAGUUUGUAAGGUGACUGUAGGACACCUAGGUACGUCUAUGAAGAAAAAGAGUCAGUACCGGCAAGCUCAGUGGCCAUAGUAAUAGCAGUUGUAGGAUGAACAUUUAGGAGUAUCAAGGGAGACUCGAAGAAUGGAUAGCUAGCCCAGUUGCACCUACAAACUGAUCCAGAAUUGUUUCCAAGUUUUUUGCAGCAAGUGGAGUAGCCUUGACAGCGACCAAGGUGGCAUUGACAUAUUAUGGGGUCGGGCAUAGGAGAUCUGGUUAUAGUGGUCGAGAAUAAAAUGUUCCGUUUGCCUUUGAUUAAUUAUGCGCUGUCUGUAAUUUGGUAUUCAUGAAAGUCACUAUCAUGAUUAAUUGACCAUGUUCUAGAUCUCUAAAUCAAAUUUAUUCCUGUUAACCUCAAUGUUAUAGCUACAUCGAGAUACUUAUUUUUCAUAUGCGAGUAAUUGGUUGAGCUCUCCCAGCAGGACGAAGCAGCAAAGGGAGCAAACUGUAUACCAAACUAUGGAUGAAUGCCCCAAUGGGGUAACUCGGAAAGUUUCACUCAUGCUCUAUGUCUUGCCCAAGGACAACAUACUCCGCGUGCAACUUUUUGUGUAUAUACCAGACGAUGCGCCAUCGGGUAAAUACUUUUUUUUACAAAUGGUAACAUAUUAGUAUCAAGAUGAUACAAAUUGCCAUUACAAAGAUACAAUAAACCAUUGUAGACCUCAUCGGUGUGAAAAAUUAAUUGGACGAACUAAAGUUUUGCAAUGAGAUGCUGAUGGUAGGCAUCAACAUGGACUUGGAGCUCGACUUGGAGUUGUGGUACUACUAGUAACUUUCCAGAUUGCAUGGAAAACUAUGAAUCCAAACAAGAUAACAGAUACAGUGAUGUAUAAUAUAUCAGCACAGAGAGAAGAAAAAAAAAUAGAAACUUUAAACAUGGCUACCAACGGGUUCUUCUGGUGUGUUAAGAGCCUUCGGAAGAUGAAACUGGGCUAGCUAUGGCCCUAGCCAUAAAGAACAUGGAAUUAGUGAUAGCACAACCGUGAAGGCUAACACAAAUAAGUUUCUAAGCGCCCCAACUGUGAUCAACACCAUGAUCAAAACUAUCCGCAACCGAAGAUGUAGUUAAAUCUAUCGAUGAUCCUGCCAAAUACCUCAUCUCGCUGAUUGGGAACCGGAGUCACCAUAUACGCCAGCAUGAAAACCAGGUCAGCUAUGCAUAUAGAGAAUCUCACCCAGAUAGACUGAAAAAACCGUUGGUCAAUGAGGCUCUAUUUUCUCAGCUGUAUUAUCUCUUUGUGGUGCCUAUUUUAGAGAACUCUUUGUCCAGCUCAAUAAUGUUGUGUUUUCACAGUUUUGCUGCAUGUACACUGUAUACUGUCCCCCGAACACCAAGCCUUCCAAUCCCAAGAACAAAAGGAAAGAGAUAGCAGCCCAAAAAUAGACCAAGUUAUCUUUCCAGCAUUGUCUUUCCUACCAGGAUUCGAAAUCCUUCUUGGCAAGACGAGCUGAAUUAUCUCCCACAGUCCGAAACUCACAAGAACAUCAAAAAUCCGACGUGAAUGAAUUCAAUAAAGAGCAGGUAUAGAUAAAAAAUAAUAAUCAAGUACGAAUAAAAUUGGUAGGGUCUCAGACAAUAUAUAGACCUAUUAGAACGUACAUGACACAUAUCACUGUGGACAUUGUCUAUGGCCUUAUUACAACACUAGUAGAAAACGAGCCUAUUGUCCCGGUUCAUAAGGGCUUUUUGUCCCGGUUCCAGAACCGGGACUAAAGGGUCGUUACUAAUGCCCUGACCCUUUAGUCCCGGUUCUAACCAGAACCGGGACAAAUGGGCCUCCACAUGGCCUGCGCGCUGAGCCCAGGCAGGAGGGCCUUUGGUCCCGGUUGGUGGCACCAACCGCGACCAAUAGGCCUCCACGCGUCAGCAUUUCUGUGGCUGGGUUUUUUGUUUUUUUUGAAAGGGGGGGGGGUGGGGGUUUUGGGGGGUUAAUUUAGGUAUUUCAUAUAUUGUGUUAGAUAGCUAAUUAAUAGAGAGAAGUGUCCUCUCUUAUGUCCGUGCUUGGUCGACGCUACGUAUACUAUACAUACGUAUAGAGAGGACUAGACACGCUAGCUAGCUAGUAAGCAGACGAAGGAAACAGAAAAUCGUCAUGAACAUAUAUGCAUACAGAGAGAAGUGAUAUCGACCACCUCUCCUUCUCCGAGAGAUUGGUUGAACAACAAGUUCUCGUAUAUCUAUCGUCCGACACUACCGGCUACAUAUAUACAAUAAUUAUCUCUUGCAAAUAUAAUCUCCUACAUUAUGGACGCAUGGUCCACAUAGUAUUCUCCGUCUUCAGCGAUCACGUGGUCAAGAAAGAAUGCCGCCAAUUCCUCUUGAAUUGCUCGCAUGCGAUCUGGUGCUAGGAGUUGAUUCCGCAUCCGAAACAUCUAAUUUGAAGAAGGGGGUCAAUACAUAUAUAUAUAAAUGAAUGAAACUCAACACAAAUGAUGGUAAUAAAAUAAAAUUGUGAAUAUUGUUAUUUACGCACUUCAUAUUGUUCGUCAGUGUACCCGCCCCGCUCACAGGUCGUGUGGCGGAUGGACUUGCAGACGUAGUAUCCACAGAAAUCAUUCCCUUGUUCCUGCCACAACCACUUUACAAGAAAUAGAGGUCAAUCAAACUCAUAAGCAAGAAUGCCAAAUGGUAUUGAUGAAACUAGCGCUUGAAUCACUAGGAGAUGCGCGGAACAUGCUACUAUAGUACUUACUUUCGGGUGUCUAAUUUGCAGCUCCUUCGGCAGUCCCGGAGCUUUUUGUGGUGAAUUUUCUCCAAACUCUGCCGGACAAAGAAAACAAUUAGUUGAUAUCAGGAAAUGAACAAAGUUGCUGAUAUGGUGGAUAAUGAUCGAUUUAACGUACUUCUUGAGGAUUUCAGUCAUGUCCGCAUACUCCUGGGGAUCUUUUCAUCUAGAGUCCAAGAUAGUUACUACUCCCUUCUCAAGCAUAAUCUCUAGGAGAAUAUAGUGGAAACUGCGCACGCAUGCAUAACUCAUCAAUUACAUUACUAUAACCUGGACUAAUAUAUAAGGGAAACCGAAUAUGCACAAGACAGUAACACUCACUUGAAGUUGUAAGGAAAGAGUAUUAUAUCUUUGUGUUCAUUUAUUUUGAAUGAUCGUAGCAAGUUGGCCUCGGUUUCUUCGGGCCUUUUGUCAACCUCAGUUGCAUCUAUGAGAUAUGUGUUAACGAACCCAAUAUCACCGAUUUGUCUUUUCUUCAAUUCGGCGAUCUUCAAUCUGCAUAAUAUAGUGAGCAUAAUUAUAAAUACAUGCAAUGAAAGAGCUGAGCUAUAUAGAGAGACUUAAUGACAGAAGUAGUAGUACUUACAGACAGUAGCAGGUGACCGUUGUUUUAUUGAGGGCCAAUUGUUGAAAAACUGAUAGAACUCCUCAAAUGGAAUAGGCAACAGUUCAAUUCCAACGAGGUCAUGCUCCGGUUUAACUCUCGCAUACAAAGUACUCCUCCCCCCAGACUCUCUGCAGAUUUUCAAGUACCAAUCAUGCAAUCUUCGCAUCAUCGUUGAUAGAGAUUUUUCAUCUUUGACGAGAGGCUUCCCGUACUCGUAUCUGUGUAUCUGCACAUCCAUGGGAUCAUAAUGUACUUCGUCGGGCAGGUAAUCGUCAAGAUUGCUAUAACCGGGCACCAUCCUCGGAUCGACGAUGUCGCUAGGCACCUUGAGCGGGGGGCACGAUUGCUUCGCUUGUUCGCCGAGUUGGGCAAUUUGUUUCCCAGCUGCUUGUCAUUCUUUCAGCCUUUGAUCACUUACUGUACUUCCCGACCGCUCUGCUUCGGCCCAUGUCUUUGCAAUAAUGCGCUCAUAGUUGCCUUUCGGCGGAGACUUGGGUGGUUUUGCCAGGGCAGCCAGAGUGCGGUUCACUUUCACCGGAUCUACCUUCUCCUUCGGAGGUAGAUGUCUCUUUGCUUUCAACGCUUGAAACCAGUCAUCCACCUCGGCUCGCGCGAUCCUCGCGUUCUCCUCUGGGGUCCUCUCGUAUGGUAACUUCUCUGAAGUCUUCAGAGAAGGACCGAAUCUGCAUGUCCUCCCGCCUCUGGCUGUACUGCUAGACGCCGGCCGAACAGACGGAGCGGCUUUCUUCUUUACUUGCUUACGAGGCGAAGGAGAAGGACUACGACGCAGCGGAGUAGCUGCCGGAGCGGCGGCGGGUCUCUUCCGCCCUUGCUGACGAGGCGGAGAAGGAGGAGGCUGGCUGCUCGGGCGCGCCGGCGCAGGAGGAGAAGGAGGCGGAGUGCCGCCACGCGCCAGAGAAGGAGCCGGCCGAGGGCCCUGAUCGUCACUCGUCGGAGGAGGAGGCGGUGGAGGAGGCGGAGUGCCAUGACUCACCGGAGGAGGAGGAGGAGGCGGAGGCGUCCAGUCGGAAGGUUGAUGAGCUCCUUCCGCCAUAGGCAUGGAGUCUUCAGAGAAGAACCCAGCCGAGUCUCCCCUUCUCCGGUAGGGUGGUCAAGCUGGAGGUCCUCAAAUCCCCCCGUUAUUUCAUCCACCAUCACCUUAGCAUAUCCUUCUGGAAUCGGCCGGCAGUGAAAAGUUGCGCUGGGUUCAUUAGGAAAAAUAGAGCCAACAGCCGCCUUGACCUUCAUAUUAAUCCAUUGCGUCAUAAGGUGGCAAUUUUGAGCCUCCGUGAUAGCAUCCACGGGAUAGCUGGCAGGAGCCGUCAAGACAAGCUCCGGCUGAAGCAGCUCAGUGGAAGCCACGCUGCUUCUCCGCUGAGAUGGCGGGGUAGCUUCAGGGGAAGCUUCGGCAAGUCGUUUGCUGCGAUUUGCUUCUCGUUCCUCUAUCGCUUGUACCCUUGUGUGCAGCGCCUGAAGUUCGGUCUGCUGCACUUUUUUCCUCCUCUCGUGGCUUUUGUAACCGCUUGCGUCCGGAAACCCAGCCUUCCACGGAAUGGAGCCUGGCGUGCCUCGUGUCCGUCGAGGGUGCUCAGGAUUUCCGAGGGCCUUUGUGAGCUCGUCGUUCUCUCUGUCUGGAAGGAACGUCCCUUUCUGCGCUGCAGCGAUAUAGUACCGAAGCUUCUUCAAGGGUAUGUCAAGUUGCUCGUCCGUCCAAAUGCACUUCCCUGUUACAGGGUCCAAGGUUCCGCCAGCCCCGAAGAACCAAGUCCGGCAACGGUCUGGCCAGCUCAUUGUCUCUGGUUCGAUCCCUUUUGCAACCAGAUCAUUCUCAGCCUUGGCCCACUUAGGCCGGGCUACGAGGUAGCCACCUGACCCGUGCGAUGGUGAAGCUUCUUCUUCGCAGCAUUUUUCUUGUUUGUCGCCGACAUCUUCUUACUCUUUUCCGAUGUCUUGUGGGCCACAAAUGGAGGCCAGUCAUCUCUGAUCUUCUCAUAUAUGCCCUUGAAUUCUGGUGUCUCUUUUUUCUCGACAAACCUAUUCAGGUCUUUCUUCGACCUCCUGAAUAGGUCUACCAUCCUCUUAAGAGCAAAAGACUUGAUUAAUUCCUCUUUAACUGGCUUCUCCGGAUCAUCCUCUGGCGGUAGGGUGAAAUUUGUCUUCAGCUCAGUCCAAAGAUCAUUUUUCUGCAUAUCAUUGACGUAAGACACCUCAGGGUCUUCUGUAGCCGGCUUGAACCAUUGCUGGAUGCUGAUCAGGAUCUUGUCCCUAACCAGAACCCCGCACUGAGCAACAAAUGCCUUCUUUGUUUGGAUGGGUUCAAUAGGUUGGCCGUCGGGCGCGAUUGCUAUGAUCUCAAACCUUUCAUCCGAGCUCAACUUUUUCUUCGGGCCUCAUCUCUUUACCUCAGUUGUGCUCGAUCCGGAGGGCUAGAAAAAAGAGCAAAGACUUAAUUAAUAUGUGUACAUACCAAAACAAUGAAUGCAUCAAUUAGCUAGUCAGCACAGGCUUAACUAAUAUAUAUACCUGGCCGGACUCGGUUUGAUCACCGGAGCCGUCAUCACGGUCUCCUUCUUGCACCGGCAUUGGGUCACCGGAGCCGUCCUCACGUUCUUCUUCUUGCACCGGCAUUAGGUCACCAGAGCCAGCUUCUUCACCCUCUCCUUCCAGACCAUCGGUGUCGUUGAGAAACAACGAGACGACAUCACUUCCUUGUGCGAUUAUGUCCCUCAACAUCGCUUCGUCUGCUUCGUCUCGGACGGUGUCCAUAGUUUCUACAAAUAUUUACAACAUGGCAAUUAUUAUUCAAACAUGACAAAUGGAUAUAUUAGUGGCAAACGUAGAACUAGCUAGCUAAUCAUAGUAAGGAAUCAUAUAUAUUAAUUAGUGGCCUCGAAGGUGCUUCUCUAGGGUUUGGGGUGGCCUCGACAACGCUUCAAGGGUUUGGGGUGGCCUCGAGAACGCUUCAAGGAGGGGGUAAUAUCGACCCCCCACCCCACGUGUUGAAGCUAUUGGGAGGGGUAUAUCGACAACGAUGACACUACAUCUAUGUCCCUCGACGACCCUCGUUCCCGAUAAAAAAAAAGAGGAAGAAGAAGAAAAAAAGAGGAGAAGAACUCCUCUAUUCUUUCUUCCCCUCUUUUUUUUUCUUCUUCCUCUUCUUUUUUUAUCCUCUUCGUCCUCUCAUGUUAGAGAGGAUCGCCGAGGGGUCAGGAGGUUGCCUAGUGUUAAAGGAUUCAACAAAACCAUGUCUUCAUCAUUAGGCGAAAGUAACAGGUGCAUGAUGGUACGAAGCUCUCCAAAGUUAUUUUGGAACGGAGUCCCAGAUAGGAUAAUUCGCUUUUUGGUACAAAGUUCAGCAAGAACCUUCCAAAUAUCGUUAUUUGGAAGGCCUUUGCUGAAAUUCAUAAAAAAAGGCAAAUUAUCCUAUCCGGGACACCAUUCCAAAAUAACUUUGGAGGACUUCGUACCAUCAUGCCCUGGUUACUUCUGGCUAAUGAUCAAGACAUGGAUUUCUUCAAUACUUUGACACUAGGAAACCUCUCUCGACCCCUCGGCGAUCCUCGACCCCUCGAACCCUCGACGACCCUGGAACCCUCGACCCCUAGACGACCCUGGAACCCUCGACCCUUGAUCCCUAGACCCUAUAGAACCCUCGAACCCUCGACCCUGAAACCCUCGACCCUNNNNNNNNNNNNNNNNNNNNNNNNNNNNNNNNNNNNNNNNNNNNNNNNNNNNNNNNNNNNNNNNNNNNNNNNNNNNNNNNNNNNNNNNNNNNNNNNNNNNNNNNNNNNNNNNNNNNNNNNNNNNNNNNNNNNNNNNNNNNNNNNNNNNNNNNNNNNNNNNNNNNNNNNNNNNNNNNNNNNNNNNNNNNNNNNNNNNNNNNNNNNNNNNNNNNNNNNNNNNNNNNNNNNNNNNNNNNNNNNNNNNNNNAGUUCCCGACCCUCGACCCCUCGGCGAUCCUCGACACCCUCGUUCCCGAUAAAAAUUAAGAAGAAGAAGAAGAAAAAAAAAGAAGAAAAACAGGAGAAGAUCGAAGAAAAAAAAGAAGAAAAAGAAGAGGAGAAGAAGAAAGGAAUAGUGGAGAGGAAGAGAAAAUAGAAUAUUCUAUUUUCUCUUCCUCUCCACUAUUCCUUUCUUGUUCUCCUCUUCUUUUUCUUCUUUUUUCUUCUUCUUAUUUAUUUCUCCUCUUCUUUUCCUCUCCUCUUCUUCUUUCUUUCCUCUUCUUAUUUUCUUCUUUCCUAUCCUUCUUUUUCUAAAAUUGUAACUUUUGCAUAUAUAAAACUUUUCUAAAAUUGUAACUUUCUAUAUAUGAACAAAAAACUUUCUAUGAACAAAAAAACAUUUUUAACAUAUAUAUUUAGCAAAUUCUAGCCACAUACAUCACACGCACAUAUACAUUAUAGCCACAUACACAUAUACAUCACAUAUGAACAAAAAAAAUAAACUAAUAAAAAUAAAAAAACUUAUUGCAACAUAUGAACAGAAACAUAUAGCCACAUACAUACACAUACAUUAUAUAUAUAUAUGAAAAAAAUUAAACUAAUAAAAAAAGUGGUGGCGCCGGCGGGGCAGAGGGGCAUGGCGGCAGCGGUGGCGCCGGCGGGGCAGGGCAGGGGCGGCUAGGCGGCGCGCGGCGNNNNNNNNNNNNNNNNNNNNNNNNNNNNNNNNNNNNNNNNNNNNNNNNNNNNNNNNNNNNNNNNNNNNNNNNNNNNNNNNNNNNNNNNNNNNNNNNNNNNNNNNNNNNNNNNNNNNNNNNNNNNNNNNNNNNNNNNNNNNNNNNNNNNNNNNNNNNNNNNNNNNNNNNNNNNNNNNNNNNNNNNNNNNNNNNNNNNNNNNNNNNNNNNNNNNNNNNNNNNNNNNNNNNNNNNNNNNNNNNNNNNNNNNNNNNNNNNNNNNNNNNNNNNNNNNNNNNNNNNNNNNNNNNNNNNNNNNNNNNNNNNNNNNNNNNNNNNNNNNNNNNNNNNNNNNNNNNNNNNNNNNNNNNNNNNNNNNNNNNNNNNNNNNNNNNNNNNNNNNNNNNNNNNNNNNNNNNNNNNNNNNNNNNNNNNNNNNNNNNNNNNNNNNNNNNNNNNNNNNNNNNNNNNNNNNNNNNNNNNNNNNNNNNNNNNNNNNNNNNNNNNNNNNNNNNNNNNNNNNNNNNNNNNNNNNNNNNNNNNNNNNNNNNNNNNNNNNGGACCAACGGCGUUGUGCUGCCCCGCGCCCAAAUGUUUAGUCCCACCUCGCUAGUUGAGAGGGAGCCGCACCUGUUUAUAAGGUGCGGUGCGCCUUCCCUCUCGAGCUCCUCUCUAAAGAAGGCUUUCGGGUCUAACCGUGCAAUGUGUGCCUGUGGGCCUACUGGGCCUCCCGCGGGCCUGAAUCCUGGCCCAUGGUAGGGUUUCUAGUCGUAUUCAGGCCGUGGGUGCCCAGUAGGUGGCACUUUUUUUGUUUUUUUGUUUUUUUGUUUCUACUUACAACAAAAUACUUAUUGUUGCUAUAUUUAAUUUUUUCCAUUUUUUGUUUCGUUUUCUGCAUUAUUUAUUUUCUUUUGUUUCUUGUUUUAUUUUUUAAAUCUUUUUGCUUUCUGUUAGUGCCAUUAGUUUUAAAAUUUGAAUAGUUUAAAUUUGGGUGAAUCACUAGUUUAUGAAUAACUUUAAUAUAAAAUUGAUUUUUGAGUCAAUCUUUUUCCUGCUAUUGAAUAUUACUGUUUUUUAUUAUUGUACUCAAUUUGGUAAUUUUAGUUAGUCAUAACAAAUAUUAUAGGCUUUUUUUUGCUAUUUAUUUUUUCAUUUCUACUUAGAACUAAAUACUUAUAGUUUUUUAGUGAUUUUUUUUCUUUUAGGUAACAAAAAUUAUGAACUUCUCUAUUAGUGAACAUAGAUGCACUUAUAGAGAAAAUUAAACCUAAAUUCAUAAUCAAUUUCUAUGAAUUUCGGAGAAAUUCAUUAUGAAUUUUGGUCCAAUUUCCUCUAUAGGUGCAUCUAUUUGCACUUUGAGAGGAGCUCAACAACGCAGAGAGGGAUGGGCUUAUAAACAGGUGUGGGCGCCCUUCGGUUGGCGAGGUGGGACUAAACUACGGGUGCAACGAGGGCCAACCCUUUAGUCCCGGUUUGUGUCACAAACCGGGACUAAUGGUCAUGGGCCAGGGGCGAGCCCUAUUUUUUUUCAGUUUUCAAAUGAACUCUGAAAAAGUUGGCAUAGCAUACUCGUCUGUUACAAAUUUGGCAUGGUAUCAUCAUAAUAGUUGCGUGAGAAAGUCUUCACUUUUUCUUCGCUUGUGUCAUUUGCUUAUUGCGCCAUAACCAUGGAUAAUCUUCAACAUUUAUCAGGAUGCUUGGGUCACCCUUGACAUUGAAGGGAGGAAUUUCAUGAAACCUUUCAUAAUCUUCAGACAUGUCUGUCUUGCCCUCCACUCCCAGGAUGUCCCUUUUUCCUGAAAGAACUAUGUGGCGCUUUGGCUCAUCGUAUGAUGUAUUCGUUUCCUUAUCUUUUCUUUUUCUCGGUCUGGUAGACAUGUCCUUCACAUAGAUAACCUGUGCCACAUCAUUGGCUAGGACGAAUGGUUCGUCAGUGUACCCAAGAUUUUUCAGAUCGACUGUUGUCAUUCCGUACUGUGGGUCUACAUGUACCCCGCCUCCUGACAGAUUGACCCAUUUGCACUUAAACAAAGGGACCUUAAAAUCUUGUCCGUAGUCAAGUUCUCAUAUGUCCACUAUGUAACCAUAAUAUGUGUCCUUUCCCUUCUCGGUUGUUGCAUCAAAGCGGACACCGCUGUUUUGGUUGGUGCUCUUUUGAUCUUGGUUAAAAUGUAUUCCCAUUUAUGUCGUGUCCUUUGUAAAUCAAUACAGUGAAAGAUGGUCCCCUGAACAACAAGUACAACUCAUCACAAACAGUGUUGUCACCUCUGAGACGUGCUUCCAACCAACUGCUGAAAGUCCUAAUGUGUUCACAUGUAAUCCAGUCGUCGCACUGCUCCGGGUGUUUGGAGCGCAGACUGUUCUUGUGUUCAUCGACAUACGGGGUCACCAAGUAGAGUUCUGUAGAACUGUGUAGUGUGCUUGAGACCAAGAAUGCCCGUCCCUGCAUAUUAUUGAGUCCGCUCCUAGCAUGCCUUUUCCAGUCAGUCUCCCCUCAUACCGCGAUUUAGGGAGACCUAUCUUCUUAAGGCCAGGAAUGAAUUCAACACAAAACCCGAUCACAUCCUCUGUUUGAUGGCCCAUAGAGAUGCUUCCUUCUGGCCUAGCGCGGUUACGGACAUAUUUCUUUAGGACUCCCAUGAACCUCUCAAAGGGGAACAUAUUGUGUAGAAAUACGGGCCCCAGAAUGACAAUCUCGUCGACUAGAUGAACUAGGACAUGCGUCAUGAUAUUGAAGAAGGAUGGUGGGAACACCAGCUCAAAACUAACAAGACAUUGCGCCACAUCACUCCUUAGCCUUGGUAUGAUUUCUGGAUCGAUCACCUUCUGAGAGAUUGCAGAGAGGAAUGCACAUAGCUUCACAAUGGCUAAUCGGACGUUUUCCAGUAGAAGCCCCCUCAAUGCAUGCAGAAGCAGUUGCGUCAUAAUCACGUGGCAGUCAUGAGACUUUAGGUUCUGGAACUUUUUCUCUGGGAUAUUUAUUAUUCUCUUUAUAUUUGACGAGAAGCCAGUCAGGACCUUCAUACUGAGCAGGCAUUCAAAGAAGAUUUCUUUCUCUUCUUUCGUAAGAGCGUAGCUGGCAGGACCUUCAUACUGCUUCGGAGGCAUGCCGUCUUUUUCGUGCAAACGUUGCAGGUCCUCCCGUGCCUCAGGUGUAUCUUUUGUCUUUCCAUACACGCCCAAGAAGCCUAGCAGGUUCACGCAAAGGUUCUUCGUCACGUGCAUCACGUCGAUUGAAGAGCGGACCUCUAGGUGUUUCCAGUAGGGUAGGUCCCAAAAUAUAGAUUUCUUCUUCCACAUGGGUGUGUGUCCCUCAGCGUCAUUCGGAACAGCUAGUGCGCCGGGACCCUUUCCAAAGAUUACGUGUAAAUCAUUGACCAUAGCAAGUACGUGAUCAGCGGUACGCAUGGCGGGCUUCUUCUGGUGAUCUGCCUCGCCUUUGAAAUGCUUGCCUUUCUUUCGACAUUGAUGGUUGGUCGGAAGAAAUCGACGAUGGCGCAGGUACACAUUCUUCCUGCAUUUGUCCAGGUAUAUACUUUCAGUGUCAUCUAAACAGUGUGUGCAUGCGUGGUAUCCUUUGUUUGUCUGUCCUGAAAGGUUACUAAGAGCGGGCCAAUCAUUGAUGGUCACGAACUGCAACGCCUAUAGGUUAAAUUCCUCUUGUCUGUGCUCAUCCCACGUACGUACACCGUUUCCAUUCCACAACUGUAAAAGUUCUUCAACUAAUGGCCUUAGGUACACAUCAAUGUCGUUGCCGGGUUGCUUAGGGCCUUGGAUGAGAACUGGCAUCAUAACGAACUUCCACUUCAUGCACAUCCAAGGAGGAAGGUUAUACAUACAUAGAGUCACGGGCCAGGUGCUGUGAUUGUUGCUCUGCUCCCCGAAAGGAUUAAUGCCAUCCGCGCUUAAAGCAAACCAUACGUUCCUUGGGUCCUUUGCACACUCAUCCCAGUACUUUCUCAUGAUUUUUCUCCACUGCGACCCGUCAGCGGGUGCUCUCAACUUCCCGUCUUUCUUACGGUCCUCACUGUGCCAUCGCAUCGACUUGGCAUGCUUUCCGUUUCUGAACAGACAUUUCAACCGUGGUAUUAUAGGAGCAUACCACAUCACCUUCGCAGGAACCCUCUUCCUGUGGGGCUCGCCGUGAACAUCACCAGGGUCAUCUCGUCUGAUCUUAUACCGCAAUGCACCACAUACCGGGCAUGCAUUUAGAUCCUUGUAUGCACCGCGGUAUAGGAUGCAGUCAUUAGGGCAUGCAUGUAUCUUCUCCACCUCCAAUCCUAGAGGGCAUACGACCUUCUUUGCUGCGUAUGUACUGUCGGGCAAUUCGUUAUCCUUUGGAAGCUUCUUCUUCAAUAUUUUUAGUAGCUUCUCAAAUUCUUUGUCAGGCACAGCAUUCUCUGCCUUCCACUGCAGCAAUUCCAGUACGGUACCGAGCUUUGUGUUGCCUUCUUCGCAAUUGGGGUACAACCCUUUUUUGUGAUCCUCUAACAUGCGAUCGAACUUCAGCUUCUCCUUUUGACUUUCGCAUUGCGUCCUUGCAUCGACAAUGACCCGGCGAAGAUCAUCAUCAUCAGGCACAUCGUCUGGUUCCUCUUGAUCUUCAGCAGCUUCACCAGUUGCAGCAUCAUUGGGCACAUCGUCUGGUUCCUCUUGAUCUUCACCAGAUCCCCCCGUUGUAGCAUCACGGUAUUCAGGGGACACGUAGUUGUCAUCAUACUCUUCUUCUUCGUCGUCUUCCAUCAUAACCCCUAUUUCUCCGUGCCUCGUCCAAACAUUAUAGUGUGGCAUGAAACCCUUGUAAAGCAGGUGGGUGUGAAGGAUUUUCCGGUCAGAGUAAGACUUUGUAUUCCCACAAUCAGGGCAUGGACAACACAUAAAACCAUUCUGCUUGUUUGCCUCAGCCGCAUCGAGAAACUCAUGCACGCCCUUAAUGUACUAGGAGGUGUGUCUGUCACCGUACAUCCAUUGCCGGUUCAUCUGCGUGCAUUAUAUAUAAUUAAGUGUCCAAAUUAAUAGAAGUUCAUCAUCACAUUAAAACCAAAGUACAUACAUAGUUCUCAUCUAACAACAGAUAGCUCUCCAGAGCAUCUAAUUAAUUAAACUAUACAUUGAAACUAUGUAAAACAUUUAAAUGCGAAAACAAAGGCGAUCAUAAUCGCAACCAAGGUAACAAUUGAUCCAACAGCAUAAUGAUACCAAGCCUCGGUAUCAAUGGCAUAUUUUCUAAUCUUUCUAAUCUUCAAGCGCAUUUCAUCCAUCUUGAUCUUGUGAUCAUCAACGACAUCCGCAACAUGCAACUCCAAUAUCAUCUUCUCCUCCUCAAUUUUUUUUAUUUUUUCCAUCAAGAAAUUGUUUUCUUCUUCAACUAAAUUUAACCUCUCGACAAUAGGGUCGGUUGGAAUUUCCGGUUCACAUACAUCCUAGAUAAAUAAAAUCUAUGUCACGUUGGUCCGCAUAAUUUUCAUAAACAAUAAAUGAACCAAUAGUUAUAAAGAUUAAUAUAUAUACCACAUCCGAAUCAUAGACAGGACGAGGGCCGACGGGGGCGGAUACCAAAACCAUCGCACUAUAUAAGAUGCAAUAAUAAAAGUAAGAAAAUGAUACAAGUAUCUAUCUAAACAUACAAGUAAGAAUAUUUUUCCUUUCAGAAAGAAGAUAAGAACAAGAGGCUCACCACGGUGGUGUCGGUGAUGAGAUCGGCGCGGGUGAUCUACGGCGGUGAAGACGGGGGUGGGGCGUGAUGGACCGCUAAAUCUAGACAAAUCUCGAGGAAAAUGGAGCUUUGAGGUCGAGCUUUGGGAGGAGAAAGCUUAACUAGUGUGGCUCGGGCAUUUCAUCGAACACCUCAUGUGCAUAGGAGGUGAGGUAGAGCACCACAAACCCCUCCCCUUGCCAGCCCAGAAAAACAGAGCACUGGAGUGCUCUGCUCGCGGGCGAGGGUAUAUAUAGGCACCUCAUUGGUCCCGGUUCGUGGCAUGAACCGGGACUAAAGGCAACCCUUUGGUCCCGGUUCAGGCCACGAACCGGGACCAAUGGUGGUGGGCCAGGAGCCAGGCCCAUUGGUCCUGGUUCGUCCCACCAACCGGGACCAAAAGGUCCAAACGAACAGGGACCAAUGGCCCACGUGGCCCGGCAGCCCCCCUGGUCUCACGAACCGGGUCCAAUGCCCCCAUUGGUCCCGGUUCUAGACUGAACCGGGACUAAUGGGCUGACCCGGCCUGGACCGUUGCCCCCUUUUCUACUAGUGCAAGCAACAAGAGAAAUUACAUAGGCGUGUGAGUGCGCGCGCACGCACACACACGUGCACACAUGCAUGACAUACAUCGAUUGACUAGAGGUCGCCCCAUAUAGUCAACAAUUUAUUGGAGGUAAACAUUAGCAUAACUUGGCCAUAGAUCGAAGCAAUCCAACAUAUGCCGAUGAAUGGCAUCCAUGUUGGUAGCAAUGCAAGCAUAUCGUUUUAGUACAGUCCUUCCAUCUUCGAAGCCACUCGCAUUUCAUCCAUCUUAGCAACCAC
rnacentral:lncRNA from 1 species